rnacentral:snRNA from 1 species
GGAUGUGAGGGCGAUCUGGCUGCGACAUCUGUCACCCCAUUGAUCACCAGGGUUGAUUCGGCUGAUCUGGCUGGCUAGGCGGGUGUCCCCUUCCUCCCUCACCGCUCCAUGUGUGUCCCUCCCGAAGCUGCGCGCUUGGUCGAGGACGGCCUUCUCCGAAUAGAGACGUACCAGUCUUCGGUCGAGGGUAUAUGAGUAGCUGCGCUCCCCUGCUAGAACCUCCAAACAAGCUCUCAAAGAUUCCCUGACUAGGGCCCCAGAAAAUGAGGUGACCUGGUAUUGACCAAAAAAAAAAAGCCAUCAUUAUGUGAGCCAGUCUAUUAUUU